UAAUAUUAUAUUGUAUAAAAUAGAAAAUAGUGAUGUGAUUGUUGCAGUCAUAUUAGAUUAAGAAUGUGAUUGUGUAAAUUCUAGUAGAUAUGAGAAUAUAUCUUAUAUUCCUAUUAGGAGUAGAUUAACUAUUAAAUGUUGUAAUCCUAAAGAUAUCUCUACUACUAUAAAUAAAUGCACAAUAGGGUGGAAUAAUACAUACCUCACAAGUAUACAUCUCUUUUCUCUCUAUAUGCUGCACCCUCUCUCUCCAUAUGGCCUCCAUAAUUGUUCAGUAAAUUAUGCCUACAACACGUUAUCAGCACACUUUUAACGCUGCGCUAAAGAGAGUUUAUUCUUCAAUUAGGGGAGUAUUACGUUUUAAUCAUUCUUUUUAUGAUUAAUUUAUUAUUUUAUUGAAUUGAUCUACAUGCUAUUAAUUCAAUUUAAUUUUUAUGUGUUGAAUGUGAUACAAUGUAUUGGAGAUGCAAUUCCGGCUUUCCAAAAAGGAUCUUCUACAAAUUCA
rnacentral:lncRNA from 1 species